rnacentral:rRNA from 1 species
AUUGAACGCUGGCGGCAUGCUUUACACAUGCAAGUCGAACGGCAGCGGGGGCUUCGGCCUGCCGGCGAGUGGCGAACGGGUGAGUAACGCAUCGGAACGUGCCCAUGUCGUGGGGGAUAACGUAUCGAAAGGUACGCUAAUACCGCAUACGUCCUGAGGGAGAAAGCGGGGGAUCUUCGGACCUCGCGCGAUUGGAGCGGCCGAUGUCGGAUUAGCUAGUAGGUGAGGUAAAGGCUCACCUAGGCGACGAUCCGUAGCGGGUCUGAGAGGAUGAUCCGCCACACUGGGACUGAGACACGGCCCAGACUCCUACGGGAGGCAGCAGUGGGGAAUUUUGGACAAUGGGCGCAAGCCUGAUCCAGCCAUGCCGCGUGAGUGAAGAAGGCC